rnacentral:rRNA from 1 species
UACGUAGGGUGCGAGCGUUAAUCGGAAUUACUGGGCGUAAAGCGUGCGCAGGCGGCUUUUCAAGUCAGGGGUGAAAGCCCAGAGCUCAACUCUGGAAUUGCCUUUGAGACUGAGUGGCUUGAGUACGAGAGAGGUGAGUGGAAUUCCCAGUGUAGAGGUGAAAUUCGUAGAUAUUGGGAAGAACACCGGUGGCGAAGGCGGCUCACUGGCUCGUAACUGACGCUCAUGCACGACAGCGUGGGGAGCAAACAGG